rnacentral:rRNA from 1 species
AACGUAGGUGGCAAGCGUUAUCCGGAUUUACUGGGCGUAAAGCGUGUGCAGGCGGGGGUACACGUGGGGUUUGAAAUUUCCCAGCUUAACUGGGAAGGGUUAUGCCAGACUGUACUUCUGGAGUGCGAGAGAGGGGCGUGGAAUUCCGGGUGUAGUGGUGAAAUGCGUAGAGAUCCGGAGGAACCCCAGAGGCGAAGGCGGCGCCCUGGCUCGCAACUGACGCUCAGACACGACAGCAUGGGGAGCGAACGGG